rnacentral:rRNA from 1 species
AACUACAGCCAUAUCACCCUGCAACUCACAACUGGGAACCCACUGAAGGUAAGCUGAGCCUGGUCAGUACCUGGAUGGGAGACCUCCUGGGAAAACUAAGGUUGCUGCUGGAA